AAAGGUCAGGCGCAUUCUGGGAGCACUGUCCUUGGCAGACAUCAGUAGAAAACAGCCCAGAAACAGAAGUGUAGAUAAGAGAUGUGUCCCAGGGCUGACGCAAUACAAAUUUCAAGGCUGUGGAACCAGGAGAAGGUCUGAGGAACGGAGCUCCCGGAAGUAAAGGCAUUGCCUCACAUUUGAGUGCAUGAGGAGAAGUAAGGAAGAUUCUAUCACACUCUUGCUGUCAAUGGUUACAAGCCAUAGCUCAGAGUGAGUAUAUGUCCCAGGGGCCACCUCCUGUCCUUCAGGCUGCAUGGUUCCAGCCAAGACAGGAAAGGGUAGUUAGCCUUCACAAACCCAAGUGGAAACUAUGUAUAAGUAUCUAUGUCAGUCACUUCUCUUGUUUCUUCCAUGAGACACCUGGCAACAGUACUUAAGGAAGGAAAGGUUUGCACUGGCCCGCAGUCUGAAGGAGGACAGAGGACACAAGGCAAUGAGAGCAGCUCUAGGUGUAGCCGUGGGAGCCCGAUAUAGCUGGACGCGCUGCAUCUGAAGCAUGACUUCAGGAUUUGUGGUCAGAAGCACGAGGUGGAGAAGUCCUGAUACAAUCUUUGUACUGUACGGUUGCCGUCUGGACUUCAUUGACUAUCCCGGAGCGAUCCAGCACAAGUGACAAGUGAAGACCUUGGCUGUGUUUCAGAAGCACAAUUACAACUCUUGGGGUAAAGAGCCUCAGCGACAAGGCCCAGGAAAGCAGGUGUAUUGAGAAUUAGAGGUAGUCACAGGGGAUGAAACAUAAAAUCAACGUGCCAGAGGUUGACCUGGGCUCUUCCACCCUCACUGUGAUCUUCAGUUUCGCUGCGUGCACUCAAGGCACAAACCUGGGAUUUGAGAUUUCAAGCUGUGUCUGUAAACUUAUUUUCAGAGACUCGGAGCGGGCCCCAGAGGAGAGGUAGGGAGUGGUCCUGGCAGCUGUUGGAUGAAGCAGGCUUGGCAGUCCAAGUUCAAGGUGUGGGGAGACUGUAAGUCUGGUUCUCCAAAUCUGCCAUCUUGUUUUAUGUUUCCAGAAUGGAGACAGAUGUCUCAUGUCUCCACUAAUCACUCUAAAGGGCUCCAUUCUCACAACCUCCCCUCCAAAAACUCACCCAAUAUCAAUAUACUGAGAAGAGAAGUUUCAGUACAUAAAUUUGAGGCCAUAGCAUGAAGUGGACCAAAGGACAUUUUUUUAAAGUAUCUAUACUAUCAUAGAUUCUUAAAGAUCUCACCUGUUCCUGACACUGCUGCAGUCAGUAUAGUCAACUCCAUUGAUCUCCACACUUAGAAUUUGUACUCUCUCCUUGCCAUUCCAGCACUAGCAAUUUGGUUAGGAAUCUAUGUCUUCCAGCCGGAUGUGUGGCUUUUAAUCCCCGUAUGCAGAUGGCAGAGGCAAGCGGAUCUCUGUGAGUUCCAGGAUAGCAGAGCUACAUAGUGAGACCUUGGUUCAAAAAACAAACAAACAAACAAACAAACAAACGAUUCUAUAUCCCCUGUUCACUCAAGCUUCUCUCCCCUCCCCUUUUGCCCCACCCCUCUCCAGGUUGGAAGGGCCUUGAGAGCAGAGGUCUGUUGUUUAACAUCAUCUUCGAGUGUACCCUAGCACGGCGGUCUCGGCUGGAGAGAUUUUCUGUGUGCUGAACUUAGAUGGAUAUGUCAAAGUGUACUCAAGCUUUCUUGAACUUUUUCCCCAUCUGAAAUCACUAAAAAUGUGCAGUAUUUCAAAAAGCCCAAGUUUGCCUCCAAAUAUGCUUGUGAAAUGUAUUUCAACACACAUAUCCAACAGUAAGAACAUGCUGGCCAUAUCAAUCCUCACAGCAACUCUUUAUUGCAGCAUAUUGAGGUUUAAUCAGGAAACAGGUUAGAGCUUCUAUGUACAGGUUUUCUUCUAGUUUGAGGUUUUCCUGAAAUAUGUGACACAGACUCGUUAUACAAAUGGCCACUAGUAAAUUAUUUCCAGCAUGUGUUACUCUGUCAACAGUGAUGCUUUCACAGAACCUUUGUCCUCCACAAUUCCCCCCCUCCAUUUAAACCAGGACAUUUCCAUCUCAGUGAGCCACUGCUGUAUUUGGGACCUAAGCGAGAAGCUGGAUAAACAGAGGCGCUAUUAUUAUUGUUACUGUCAAUAUAGUUUCCUUCCCUAGUUAUAACUGAUUAUUUCCUUUUUUCCAUUUCAAAACAUUUUUGUUCAAAUGCUUCUGAUGGCUCUCGUCACAAGCAAUAUUCCUUCGGAAAUAAUGCACCUUUUUAAUUUCUCAACCUAAAAUACACAGCCCGUCAUCUCCAUAGUAGGAUGAUGCUGUUAGAGAGAUCAGCUGUGUCUAGUUGGAGAAUUUUUAGGGGAAUAAGGGAUUACAGGAGCGAGUGCUUCCUCUAUUAGUUCGUGCAAAGUGAAGACAAGAAAGAAAGUCUGUAGGAUGUAAGAGGUGAUGUUACUCCAGCAAGAGUUGGGCAUUUGGAAACACAUGGAGUUAAAAGCAGUUUUCACUUAAUGUGCUUUGUUGUUUCUGCUACAAUAAAAAUAAAUAAUAAAAAUUCUGUUUUGCUUCUUUAUAAUA